GUAGAAUGAUUCCACCUGUGCGUACCAGCUGUUCACCUGCAGAGGGUUUAUAAAAAUGGUUUCCCUCUGUCAGUGAGAGAGUUCAGUGUCAGCCUGCUGCUCCCAGGUUGGACCGGUUGCACACAGCCUCCGGCUGCCCAUCCCUGUGGCUGGCUGUGCUGCUGUUUUGCCGAUGUUUAGGUUUUGCUGUCUCGUGCACCAGUAUUUUGGAUGCUGCUUGCACAGUGUGGAUACGGCACAUUUGGACUUUGGAGCCACCCCAUCAUGUCUCCUCAAUUGUCUCCCUGACUUGCCAGAUCCCAUCUAAAUCUGGAGUCUCCCACGAUGUGACCAACAGCAUCAGGACUUUAGGAAUGUGCACUAGGGCCAAAGGGAUUGUGUGAAGGCUUUGAUGUGGUCCAUCCAUUAUUUGUGGUUUAACUUGGCCUUUUAAGAUGUCUGUGUGUCUCUUUUAGCAUAGGAAUUUUAUUAACCUUUUUGUAUUAAUAAAGAUUUGUAUAGUUUUUUAGAA